rnacentral:rRNA from 1 species
CAGCCGCCGCGGUAAUACGGAGGGUGCAAGCGUUAAUCGGAAUUACUGGGCGUAAAGCGCACGCAGGCGGUUUGUUAAGUCAGAUGUGAAAUCCCCGAGCUUAACUUGGGAACUGCAUUUGAAACUGGCAAGCCAGAGUCUUGUAGAGGGGGGUAGAAUUCCAGGUGUAGCGGUGAAAUGCGUAGAGAUCUGGAGGAAUACCGGUGGCGAAGGCGGCCCCCUGGACAAAAACUGACGCUCAGGUGCGAAAGCGUGGGGAGCAAACAGGAUUAGAUACCCCUGUAGUCCCUGUCUCUUAUAC